AAACCAACAGGGAUUACCUCAGUAACGGCGAGUGAAGCGGUAACAGCUCAAAUUUGAAAUCUGGGUCUUUCAGGCUCCGAGUUGUAAUUUGUAGAAGAUGCUUCGGGUGCGGCUCCGGUCUAAGUUCCUUGGAACAGGACGUCAUAGAGGGUGAGAAUCCCGUAUGUGAUCGGUUGCUUGCGCCCAUGUGAAGCUCUUUCGACGAGUCGAGUUGUUUGGGAAUGCAGCUCAAAAUGGGUGGUAAAUUUCAUCUAAAGCUAAAUAUUGGCCAGAGACCGAUAGCGCACAAGUAGAGUGAUCGAAAGAUGAAAAGCACUUUGGAAAGAGAGUUAAACAGUACGUGAAAUUGCUGAAAGGGAAGCGCUUGCAACCAGACUUGCGCGUUGCCGAUCAUCCGGGGUUCUCCCCGGUGCACUCGGCCUCGCUCAGGCCAGCAUCGGUUUUGGUGGUGGGAUAAAGGCCUUGGGAAUGUAGCUCCUUUCGGGGAGUGUUAUAGCCCUCGGUGCAAUGCCGCCUACCGGGACCGAGGACCGCGCUUCGGCUAGGAUGCUGGCGUAAUGGUUGUAAGCGAC
rnacentral:rRNA from 1 species